UGCCUUUCACGGCACAAGGCGAUUUACAGAGCAAAGUUGAAAAGCACGGAAAAGCAGUUAAUCAGAAUUUCAACCACCAUCAAUUUUAAAAGCAGCAGCAGCAACAGCUCAACUUCCCCCACUCCCCAGCACAAGCACGUUAACCAAAGCCGGAGGGAAUCACACCACCAACAGCCUCUUGUCCUUAACAGGACUUCGCGUGUUCAGCGGGGGAACGUGGCGCCAGUUAAUUCCUGGAGAGGAAAGGGCUUGUGGCAAUAACACGUGCAGCACUUUGCCUACGACAGCAGCGAGCAAGUGAGCAGCGCCAGAUUUAGGAAACUUGCAAACGCAAAAUCCUUCUCGCUUGAGUUAGACGGCGUAGCAAAGAAUUUAGAAACCAGGCGGGGAAACUUGAGGGAAGGAGUGAGUGAGAGAAGGACCCGCUGCUGCUGCUGCCUCGGCCACUACACGUCUCUCUUGACCCCGCCGACCCCGCCUUGCCCUUACCAUUUGGGCCACUUUCAGCAUGGCUGAGUAAGAGCCCGCGUAGCCUCUAUCCAGCAACCCGGAGUCCGACCCGAAAGCAGAAGACGGUGCGGAGGCGCUCCCGCUGCUGGCGUCGGUGCGGAUCACCCGCACCCCGUGAGACAUCUCGCUGGCGCUUUUCUGGCCGAGGAGACGGGGCGAGCCCCUCUCCCUUUUUAGCCCGCUUUCGCUCGCGUUCGUCUUCCUCCUGAGCACUGCCGCGACCCCUUCGUAGCUCCGGAGGCGGGACAAGGCGGGGCCGGCCGAUGGCUGCCUGGCUGCAGUGCCUCUAUGCACAGCUGGAGCGAGGGGGAGGUCGCGAAAGCCUCCUCCAGGCAGCCUGAAGGGAACCUGUGGCGCGUCCAAAGGAGGAAGGUAGAACGGCAGCGAGGCCUCCCUGAUACAGGGGCUAUUUCCUGUGAGGACCCUGUCUUGAACGCUGCACCCCUGUUGCAAGGUUCUAUUCAGCUUGCCAUGUGACGAAUUCGUAUUGGCUCCAGUGCACUUGCAGAAAACACAGACAUUAGAACAACAAUAAACGAAGUUACCGCCACUACAGAGAUGCUGCUCAAAAUAGUGGCCAUUUUGAGAAGAAGUGGAAGAAACUUACCAUGACUUGGGGAGACGUCUACUGAGAAGUAAGCUCCACUGUGUUCAAUGGGACUUACUC